ACCUGUAAGAUAUCGGACUUUGGACUGUCGAAGGACAUCAGCCAGUGCAGGGAACAUGAGUACAAUACAAUGGGUCUUCUUCCUGUCCGCUGGAUGGCGCCAGAGUCGCUGAUGGACAAUUUGUAUACAACAAAGGGUGACGUGUGGUCCUUUGGUGUUCUCUUGUGGGAAAUUGUUACCUUGGGGUGUCUUCCGUAUCCUGGUAUUCCGGGAGCAGAUCUGGCACGAAUGUUACACAGUGGAUAUCGUAUGGGGAAACCAGACCACUGUACAC